rnacentral:rRNA from 1 species
GAUGAACGCUGGCGGCGUGCUUAACACAUGCAAGUCGAACGGGAAAUAUCUCAUUGAGACUUCGGUGGAUUUGAUUUAUUUCUAGUGGCGGCCGGGUGAGUAACGCGUGGGUAACCUGCCUUAUACAGGGGGAUAACAGUCAGAAAUGGCUGCUAAUACCGCAUAAGCGCACAGAGCUGCAUGGCUCAGUGUGAAAAACUCCGGUGGCAUAGGAUGGACCCGCGUUGGAUUAGCUAGCUGGUGGGGUAACUGCCCACCAACGCGACGUAGCAUAGCCGGCAGGAGAGGGUGAACGACCACAUUGGGGCUGAGGCACAGCCCAGACUCGUAGGGGAGGGAGGAGUGGGGAAUAUUGCACAAUGGAGGAAAACGUGAUGCAGCGACGCCGCGUGAAGGAGGAAGUAUGUCGGUAUGUAAACUUCUAUCAGCAGGGAAGAUAGUGACGGUACCUGACUAAGAAGCACCGGCUAACUACGUG